UACAGAGGGUGCAAGCGUUGUUCGGAAUUAUUGGGCGUAAAGCGCGUGUAGGCGGCGUGACAAGUCGGGUGUGAAAGCCCUCAGCUCAACUGAGGAAGUGCGCCCGAAACUGUCGUGCUUGAGUGCCGGAGAGGGUGGCGGAAUUCCCCAAGUAGAGGUGAAAUGCGUAGAUAUCGGGAGGAAUACCAGUGGCGAAGGCGGCUUCUUGGCCUGUUCUUGACGCUGAGGCGCGAAAGCUGGGGGAGCAAACGGG
rnacentral:rRNA from 1 species